rnacentral:rRNA from 1 species
UAGGGAAUCUUCCGCAAUGGACGCAAGUCUGAAGGAGCAACGCCGCGUGAGUGAAGAAGGAUUUCGGUUCGUAAAACUCUGUUGUUAGCGAAGAACAGCGCAUAGAGUAACUGUUAUGCGUGUGACGGUAUCUAACCAGAAAGCCACGGCUAACUACGUGCCAGCAGCCGCGGUAAUACGUAGGUGGCAAGCGUUGUCCGGAUUUAUUGGGCGUAAAGCGAGCGCAGGCGGUCAAUUAAGUCUGAUGUGAAAGCCCCCGGCCCAACCGGGGAGGGUCAUUGGAAACUGGUUGACUUGAGUGCAGAAGAGGAGAGUGGAAUUCCAGGUGUAGCGGUGAAAUGCGUAGAUAUAAGGAGGAACACCAGUGGCGAAGGCGACUCUCUGGUCUGUAACUGACGAUGAGGCUCGAAAGCGUGGGUAGCAAACAGG